rnacentral:lncRNA from 1 species
GGACCUGCGGGAGGUGCUCUGCGACCGCCCACGCCCCGGCCCGCGGCGCGUCCCGGACGUCCACGCUUGCGUUUCUGCGGAUCGUGGGAAUCCUUCUGCGUGGGUCUGUCUCACACCUUAACUUGAAGAGUUUUAGAAAUGCUAACCGAGCUCAGGUUUUGAACAUGUCUGGGACUGUGAAUUGGCUGCCAGAAUGAAGUGAGUAACUGCUAUCUAAAGACUGUUAAAAUCUGAUGGGAUAAACAGGUUACAUGGCAAAAGCAGCCAGGCUGAGAGAACCAUGGAGCUCUGAAGCCAGUCCCAAGAAGAAGCAGAAGACAUAAUACAAGCAGAAGACAGGGAGAGAAUAUUCUACGCGUAUAUACACAGGCUCAAGUAUUCAUUAAAAACAUAAAAGCAUUCUUUUGAUAUCUCCCAGUAGAAAGCCAUGAACACAGGGAAAACAUUCAUAAAAUAACUUUAGGUUGUAAAAUGUAGCAAGUCUGUGGUGGAAAAGCAGCUUCAAAACACAACUGGUGUGUGGGGUUUCCAUUUCUCAGAAAGCCAGCAGUCGUGUUAUGAAAGAACAGUUUAGGCUAAUCCCUACGGGUAUGCUGCUGCCAAGUUGGUUCUUUUACUGUGCUCAUCAGAAGUGCCAGAAAAAUACCCGCACCCGCCCCCCAUUUAGCCUCUGGAAGAAGAUGUUCUAAAGGGCUCACAAACAUCCAGAUGUAGCUCUUACCAAGCUCCAGCGUCAGAAGGAGUGCCUCAGCGUCUAAGUCCGUAUAUACACACACGGCUUUUCAUGCAUCCUCUGCUGGGGAGGUCACAAUCUGAGGCACCCUUUAAAGCCACUUCUGGGAGAAAAGAAAGAGAAAAAAAAAAAUCAACCACUGAACGUCUAGUGAGCUGUUUCCUAAGGAGGCAUCAACAAACUCCUACCAGCCCCAGUCCUCAGUAACGUCAUGAGAUGGGCUGCUUGUGGUUGUCAAAACUGAUCUUCCCACUGCGGGUGAACACGUACGGCGGAUUGUUAUGGCUUAGGGCGCUUGACUGCACCGCUGUGAAAAUAUUCAGCAGAAUUCCACAAGCUCUUUGUUUGCCUUGCCUUAGUGGAAAUUCCUCCAGCUAUCCAAACACGCACCUGGGGGAGGUGUUUUUUUUUUCCCCCUCCACAUUUCAGGAAGGGGUUUCUUCUAAGUAAAAAUGUGUCCUUACCUCUCUUC